AUACGGAGGAUCCGAGCGUUAUCCGGAUUUAUUGGGUUUAAAGGGAGCGUAGGUGGACAGUUAAGUCAGUUGUGAAAGUUUGCGGCUCAACCGUAAAAUUGCAGUUGAUACUGGCUGUCUUGAGUACAGUAGAGGUGGGCGGAAUUCGUGGGGUAGCGGGGAAAUGCUUAGAUAUCACGAAGAACUCCGAUUGCGAAGGCAGCUCACUGGACUGCAACUGACACUGAUGCUCGAAAGUGUGGGUAUCAAACAGGAUUAGAUACCCUGGUAGUCCACACAGUAAACGAUGAAUACUCGCUGUUUGCGAUAUACAGUAAGCGGCCAAGCGAAAGCAUUAAGUAUUCCACCUGGGGAGUACGCCGGCAACGGUGAAACUCAAAGGAAUUGGCGGGG
rnacentral:rRNA from 1 species